UACGAAGGGGGCUAGCGUUGCUCGGAAUGACUGGGCGUAAAGGGCGCGUAGGCGGCUUGGUAAGUCGGGGGGUGAAAGUCAGCGGCUCAACCGCUGGACUGCCUUCGAGACUGCCUGGCUUGAGCAUGGUAGAGGCUGGCGGGAAUUCCCGGUGUAGCGGUGGAAUGCGUAGAUAUCUGGAGGAAUACCGGUGGCGAAGGCGGCAUCCUGGACCGGCAUUGACGCUGAGG
rnacentral:rRNA from 1 species